rnacentral:siRNA from 1 species
GAGGUAUCCAACUUCAGUCUCAGU